rnacentral:lncRNA from 1 species
AGUGCGACAGCUUCAGAGCUGAUGGAGAGACAGAGAGCACGCAACUGGAAAAAAUCAGACAUGGAAUUCAUGGAUUAACUGGUCACCAAUUGUUUCAGCAUUGCGUAUUGAAUAAUACAACCUUCUUCCACUGCCGUGAAAUGUCAACAGCUGCUCUCCCACUAGAUAGGGCGUAGCUUUCCACAGACGUGAAAACAUCGCUGUGGUCCAUCUCUAUUUACUGCAAGCAGAAGGGUCAAGACAGAAAACAUAGAGGCUUUUAGUAGGAGAGGGCAGACAUGCUUUAUCAUAUCAUUGAGCUACAAUUCUGGCCUACAGCAGAGAUACAGCCUGGUAUCCAUUAAGAGCAAGGCCUCUGGACCCAGGCUUCCUGGGCUUGCCUCCUGAUCCCAUCUUUUACUAAUUGUAUCGCCACAGAAAGAAAGGCUCCAGAUUUAUGUUUCCUGGUAUUGCUGCUAUUGGUAUUACUGUCCAUUAUUACUAUCAUCAUCAUCAUCACUAUUAUUAUUAUUAUUUUGCAAUUAAACUACAUUGGUGAAUCUUUAAUGUCCAUCUACUGAAAUAGCUACAGUGCAAGACGGAGAGAGGCCUUCAUGCAUGGUGUGCAUUUGCCACCUAGUGACCACACUGAAUGGCAGGUGAACCCCUUAGUAAUAUGCAAACUGGCUAUGGGAUCUCAAGGCCACAGCACUUAUUCUGAUUUGUGUGUCAGAGGUACAAUGGACAAAGAGUGAAGUCAUCAAAGGAGGAAGCAAAGACAAAUGGGAAUUUUAUAAAUAAACCUUAUUCAAACACCA